CAAAUGGCGAAGCGUAGGGAAACCGAGUCUGAAGAGGGCGUUUGUCAGUGCUUAUAGACCCGAACCCGGGUGAUCUAACCAUGGCCAGGAUGAAGCUUGGGUAACACCAAGUGGAGGUCCGAACCGACCGAUGUUGAAAAAUCGGCGGAUGAGCUGUGGUUAGGGGUGAAAUGCCAAUCGAACCCGGAGCUAGCUGGUUCUCCCCGAAAUGCGUUGAGGCGCAGCGGUUGCCAUACCGGUUGGGGGUAGAGCACUGUUUCGGUGCGGGCGGCGAGAGCUGUACCAAAUCGAGGCAAACUCCGAAUACCAGCCGUUGAGGCAGCUAGUGAGACGGUGGGGGAUAAGCUUCAUCGUCGAGAGGGAAACAGCCCAGACCACCAGCUAAGGUCCCCAAAUUAUGGCUAAGUGGCAAAGGAGGUGGGAGUGCAGAGACAACCAGGAGGUUGGCCUAGAAGCAGCCAUCCUUAAAAGAGUGCGUAAUAGCUCACUGGUCAAGCGCUCCUGCGCCGAAAAUGAACGGGACUAAGCCAUAUACCGAAGCUGUGGACAGGUGACUGUGGUAGGGGAGCGUUCUGGGUGGGGUGAAGCACCAGCGGAAGCAGGUGUGGACUGCCCAGAAGUGAGAAUGUCGGCUUGAGUAGCGAAAACAUUGGUGAGAAUCCAAUGCCCCGGAAACCCAAGGGUUCCGCUGCCAGGUUCGUCCGCGGCGGGUGAGUCAGGGCCUAAGGCGAGGCCGAAAGGCGUAGUCGAUGGACAACGGGUCAACAUUCCCGUACCGUGUGCGGAUUGUGCUGGGGGACGGAGGAGGCUAGGCCAGCGAGGUGAUGGUUACUCGUGCAAGUGUCCGACGCGAUGAGGGACGGCGAAAACGUCCUGAGCCGAGGCGCGAGUCCGAGGGACUACGGUCCCGAAGUGGCUGACGUCAGACUCCCGAGAAAAGCCCAAACACGUUAAGCACACGCCUGUACCCAAAACCGACACAGGUGGGUUGGUAGAGGAUACCAAGGGGCGCGAGCUAACUCUCUCUAAGGAACUCGGCAAAAUGGCCCCGUAAGUUCGCAAGAAGGGGUGCCCCCGCAAGGGGGUCGCAGUGAAGAGGCUCUGGCAACUGUUUACCAAAAACACAGGUCUCUGCUAAGUCGUAAGACGACGUAUAGGGGCUGACGCCUGCCCAGUGCCGGAAGGUCAAGGAAGCUGGUUAGCGCAAGCGAAGCUGGCGACCGAAGCCCCGGUGAACGGCGGCCGUAACUAUAACGGUCCUAAGGUAGCGAAAUUCCUUGUCGGGUAAGUUCCGACCCGCACGAAAGGCGUAAUGACUUGGGCGCUGUCUCGGAGAGGGACUCGGCGAAAUAGACUUGUCUGUGAAGAUGCGGACUACCUGCACCUGGACAGAAAGACCCUAUGAAGCUUUACUGUAGCCUGGAAUGGGGUUCGGGCCUUGCCUGCGCAGGAUAGGUGGGAGACAAAGAAGUACCCCUUGCGGGGGGUAUGGAGUCGCCGGUGAGAUACCACUCUGGCAAGGCUAGAAUUCUAACUUUCUGCCCGGAAGCGGGGGAAAGGACAGUUUCAGGUGGGCAGUUUGACUGGGGCGGUCGCCUCCUAAAGGGUAACGGAGGCGUGCAAAGGUUCCCUCAGGCUGGUUGGAAAUCAGCCGUUGAGUGCAAAGGCAUAAGGGAGCUUGACUGCAAGACCGACAAGUCGAGCAGGGACGAAAGUCGGCCUUAGUGAUCCGACGGCGCUGAGUGGAAGGGCCGUCGCUCAACGGAUAAAAGUUACUCUAGGGAUAACAGGCUGAUCUCCCCCAAGAGUUCACAUCGACGGGGAGGUUUGGCACCUCGAUGUCGGCUCAUCGCAACCUGGGGCGGUAGUACGUCCCAAGGGUUGGGCUGUUCGCCCAUUAAAGCGGUACGUGAGCUGGGUUCAGAACGUCGUGAGACAGUUCGGUCCAUAUCCGGUGUGGGCGUUAGAGCAUUGAGAGGACCUUUCCCUAGUACGAGAGGACCGGGAAGGACGCACCUCUGGUGUGCCAGUUAUCGUGCCCACGGUAAACGCUGGGUAGCCAAGUGCGGAGCGGAUAACUGCUGAAAGCAUCUAAGUAGUAAACCCACCCCAAGAUGAGUGCUCUCCUAUUCCGACUUCCCCAGAGCCUCCGGUAGCACAGCCGAGACAGCGAUGGGUUCU
rnacentral:rRNA from 1 species